UGAAUAACAUACAAGUCCUGGAAGAAGGGC
rnacentral:piRNA from 1 species